rnacentral:rRNA from 1 species
AGUGAACGCUGGCGGCGUGCUUAACACAUGCAAGUUGAACGAGAACGGAUUAUAGCUUGCUAUAAUUGUCAGCUAAGUGGCGCACGAGUGAGUAAUGUAUAGGUGAUAUGCCUCUUACUAAGGGAUAACAAAUGGAAACGUUUGCUAAUACCUUAUACUCCUUAUUAACAGAAGUUAAUAAGGGAAAGAUUUAUUGGUAAGAGAUUAGCCUGUAUUGUAUCAGUUAGUUGGUGGGGUAAUGGCUUACCAAGACUAUGACACAUAACUGGUUUGAGAGGAUGAUCAGGCAAACUGGAACUGAGACACGGUCCAGACUCCUACGGGAGGCAGCAGUGGGGAAUAUUGCACAAUGGACGAAAGUCUGAUGCAGCAACGCCGCGUGGAGGAUGACACAUUUCGGUGCGUAAACUCCUUUUAUAUGAGAAGAUAAUGACGGUAUUAUAUGAAUAAGCACCGGCUAACUCCGUGCCAGCAGCCGCCGUAACAC